rfam:Gossypium raimondii Chr10_contig_1271, whole genome shotgun sequence.
UAUUAAAAAUUUCAUCAUUUGUAUUCAUUAAAGCUGACGUGACUGUCAAAAUAAUUAGACAGUGAUACGUAGCAUGCCACCUGUAUCUCUUGUUAACGAACAAGAAUCAAUUUUUAACUAUAAAAAUAAAUGAAAUUUUAAUA